rnacentral:tRNA from 1 species
AUAUAGGAUGCCAGAUAACUAUGGGUCAGAUUUAGGUUCUGAAUAUGAACACUUAAGAUGUUCUCCUAUGUU